UGUGUAUACAUGUACUUAUAUUUUUCAACAAUUUUUUGCACACAUCUGUAGCAUGUAGAUUAUGUUAUUUUCAUAGGAAUCGAAGUUACAAAUGUUAGAGCAGCAAAUUUAUGAUUUUAAUCAUACUUUUUGGAAGAAACACAAUAUUGAAUUCCAACAGGCAAAAUCUGACUACAUUAAUAAAUUGCUAUCAACAACAAAUCUUACCAGAAAUGAAUUAACAUCAAAUCAUUUAAUGGAAUUUCAUAGAUCAUUUCUUAAUGGCAAGUAUCAGACUCACAAGCAAUAUUUAAAGCAAUGGACUAUUAUGAACU